rnacentral:hammerhead_ribozyme from 1 species
ACCAGUUGACGAGUCCCAAAUAGGACGAAACGCGCGUCCUGGAU